rnacentral:rRNA from 1 species
CCUAGUUGAUCCUGCCAGUAGUCAUAUGCUUGUCUAAAAUAUUAAGCCAUGCACGUGUAACUAUGAACUAAUUUAGACUGUGAAACUGUGAAUGGCUCAUUAAAGAAGUUAUAGUUUGUUUGAUGGUACCUGCUACUCGGAUAAUAGUAGUAGUUAAUACGUGCAACAAACCCCGACUUUUGGAAGGGAUGCAUUUAUUAGAUAAAAGGUCAACGUCAGUUUUGCCCGUUGCUAUGAUGAUUCAUGAUAACUCGACGGAUCACAUGGCCCUAGUGUCGGCGACACAUCAUUCAAAGUUAUGCAUUAUCAAUUUUCGAUGUUGGUAUAAUGACAUACUAUGGUGGUGAUGGGUGACGGAGAAUUAGGGUUUGAUUCAGGAGAGGGGGCCUGAGAAAUGGCUACCACAUCCAAGGAAAGCAGCAGGAGCGCUAAUUACCCAAUCCUGACAUGGGGAAGUAGUGACAAAUAAAUAACAAUAUCGGCUUCUAUGAUUCUGGUAAUUGGAAUGAGUAUAAUCUAAAUCCUUUAACUAGGAUCCAUUGGGGGCAAGUUUGAUGCCGGCAGUAGUGGUAAUUCCAGCUCCAAUAACGUAAAUUUAAGUUGUUGCCUUUAAAAAGCUUGUAGUUGGACUUUGGUUUGAGUCGACCGGUCCACCCUUGGGUGUGAACCUGUCGUCCCGUCCCUUCUACUAGCAAUGCACUCCUAGUCUUAAUUGACUGGGUCGUGCUUCUAGUCUUGUUACUUUGAAGAAAUUGGAAUGCUCAAAGCAAGCCCAAGUUCUAUAUACAUUAGCAAGUGAUUACAUCAUAGGAUUCUAGUCCUAUUGUGUUGGCUUUAAGGAUCAAAUUAAUUAUUAUCAGGGACAGUCGGGGACAUUCAUAUUUCAUAGUCAGAGGUAAAAUUCUUGGAUUUAUGAAAGACGAACUACUAUGAAAGCAUUUGCCAAUGAUGUUUUCAUUAAUCAAUAAUGAAAAUUGGGGACUCGAAGAAUCAGAUACCGUCCUUGUCUCAACCAUAAGCUAUGUCGACUAGGGAUCGAUGAAUGUUGCUUAUAGGACUCCGCCAGCACCUUAUGAGAAAUCAAUGUUUUUGGGUUCCGAGGGGAGUAUGGAUGCUAAAACUUAAAGGAAUUAACGGAGGAACCCCACCUGGAGUAGAGCCUACGACUUAAUUUGACUCAACAAAGGGAAACUUACCAAGUCCAGACAUAGUAAUGAUUGACAGACUGAGAGCUCUUUCAUGAUUCUAUGGGUGGUGGUGCAUGGCCGUUCUUAUUUGGUGGAACGAUUUCUCUGGUUAAUUCUGUUAACGAACGAAACCUAAGCUUGCUAACUAGCUAUAUGGAGGUGACCCUCCACUGCCAGCUUUUUAGAGGGACUAUGGUCAUUUAGGCCCCUAAAGUUUUAGCCAAUAAUAGGUUUGUGAUGCCCUUAGAUGUUCUGGGCCGCACAUAAUUAACCUAAUUUUAAUAACUACAAGUGCACAGUGUCUAACUGGUAGACAAGGGCAAGUACAGGUCGAUCCCACAAGGACUGUGGUUGCAAUUAAAUUUCAGGGUUUAUUUAAACUAAUUUAAAUUGGGGUUACAGCAAUUAAAAUAUCUAAACUAAAAAUCAAAUUAAAAACAAAAUAAAAAGUUUUAAAGAAUAUGAGAAAGGAAACCAAGGCAUUGAAUCCACCACAGGUUCUUUGAGAUUUUUGUAAUCAAAAAUAUUGUUUUCAAGAUUUAACAUGACUAACCUAAAGAUUAAUCUAAGUUGACAAUUGAUUUCAGCAUAUG